rnacentral:rRNA from 1 species
UACGAAGGGGGCUAGCGUUGCUCGGAAUCACUGGGCGUAAAGCGCACGUAGGCGGCUUGUUAAGUCAGGGGUGAAAUCCUGGAGCUCAACUCCAGAACUGCCUUUGAUACUGGCGAGCUUGAGUCCGGGAGAGGUGAGUGGAACUGCGAGUGUAGAGGUGAAAUUCGUAGAUAUUCGCAAGAACACCAGUGGCGAAGGCGGCUCUCUGGGACGUGACUGACGCUGAGACGCGAAAGCGUGGGGAGCGAACAGG